ensembl:lncRNA
CACAUGCACGCACACGCACAUACAUGCACACACCUGCACGCACACACCUGCACGCACACACACGCACAUGCACGCACCUGCACACACACGCACAUACAUGCACGCACCUGCACGCACACGCACAUACAUGCACGCACCUGCACGCACACGCACAUACAUGCACACACCUGCACGCACACACCUGCAUGCACACACCUGCACGCACACACACGCACAUGCACGCACCUGCACGCACACGCACAUACAUGCACGCACCUGCACGCACACGCACAUACAUGCACGCACCUGCACGCACACGCACAUACAUGCACGCACCUGCACGCACACACCUGCACGCACACACACGCACAUGCACGCACCUGCACGCACACGCACAUACAUGUGUGCACACACACAUUUUUGUUUGGGGCCCUGUCUUCAGUGGAGGUCAAAUUCUAGCUUGUGGGCCAGCCCUGCUGUCGUGACUGUGUCCCCCUUUCAUGGGGUCAAGGAAGGCCCCAGGCCACGCACUCCUCGUUAAUGAGAACUGCAGAUCGCGGUGCUUUGUGAAUGAGUGCCUCGCCUCUGCGUUCGCUCCUUGCACAGUGAAAAUCCCCCUUUCCAUCAGUUCCAAGAUUUGCCUCUUAGGAUUUUAGUGCUUUUGUCACCAAAGACCCUGUGCUUCUUGUCCUUCAAGUGGUCCUAUGGCUGCAGCUUCUGCGUCUUAUCCCAUGUUCUUCAGGCCACGCGGAAUUAAUUGGAUUUGCUUUUUGAGCUCAGUUUCCUUCCUCUUAUGGAUCUGUGAGGAAAAUGUGAGGUCAUGUGGCCUGUGGCCACUCACGCCUUAGAGCAGCGUAGCUUCUCUUCUUAUCUGGUGCAGAAACAGUCAAGAGAAAUCAUUGGCUGUGAGUUUCUGUCAAUGAGAAUGCCAUCCACGAAGCCCAAGGAUGAAAUCGAGCAUCUUUCUUCUCUUGUUUGGCUUUUGGUAACUAGGUGGUCACCUUGAGCAUCCUCAAUUCUUUUUGACAUUUGUGAAUCUAAGACAAGGAAGUCUUACAGGCGCCGAAGGGCCUGGGAGAGAAAUGGCAGGUCCUAAGUACUGGGUCUUCGUUCAGUGAGAACAGACUUUCAGUGAGAAAAUGGUUGCCCUCAGCAGACUGGCGUGGACCACGCACCCUCCAGGAGCCCCCCCGGUGACUAGAAACGAAGCAGAUGCCGAGGGGAAGGAGGGGAAGAGGAAGUGGCUUCAGGUUUGGAGCCAGCGAGCAGGAGCCCUCUGUCACUGCAGUGAGGCCGGGGCGGGGGCCAAGAGCUGCCUGCUCUGCAGCCAUGCGUCUCAGGGCUGCUGCGUUCACCGGGGCUUCCGUUCCCCACUGUGCACGGCCCACGUGUGGUCCCCAUCAGGACAGACAACACUGAAAGCAGGAUGCCAAACAGCGAGAGGAGUCAGGGCCUCACCCGUGUCCCUGCAAACCAACAGGUGUGUGGUUGACCCGGCCAUCCCAGCGGCUCCUCGAAGGCUCCUCCGUCAGCAGAGUGACCAGGUGUCACCAGGAACUCCCAAAUCCCACCAAGUCCAGCCAACCACUCUCCGCAAGGAUGCUACAUGGUUCCGCAGUCAGGUUUCAGAGCCUCCGUCAUGCAUGCGCAUGGCAUCGCUCACGUUAGGGGUCAGGAUAGGUUACUUUCCGCCGCAUAGGGAGCAAAGGUGUGGGCUGCAGCACCUGGCCUUUUAAGGUCUGUUAAACCCAAUCUAAAACAUGCUUGGCCCCUCUUGUAUCCCCUGCACUUGUUUUUUCUUCUGUAUCACCUGUGUCCAAAAAAGAACGGAGAUGAGUGCUUCUCAGUGUUAACCUUUGCUUCUCCGCCAGCCCGCGCGGCCGUGUGGAAAGGGCAGUGCUGUACCCGCUGGGCUUAGUAAAGGAAAUCAGUUAUUCUAGGAUAGUCGAGCUAUAUCAUUACUCUGGGAAUCCGACUGUGAAGUCACCGGUAGAUGAUUGCGGAGCAGUUCACAUAGAGUAGAGACGUGGGGUCUCCCACCUGCUUCGCGGCAUCCCCUCAGAUCCACCGCACGUCAUUUCUGCACCAAUGCUAGAAUACUGUUGUGUUGUAAGAAUGACUAGUUUUUAAAGAAUCCGCCCUGAAAACAACUUGACUUAACAACAAAGUGCAAGAGAAGAACUUAUCAUUUACCCAGUUUUCCCCUGCAGGAUGGGAACAUACGAAGGCAGGGAAAGCCGGGAUGGGAUUUUCCUUCGGCUCUUUAUCACGCUCCGCCUGCAGCCGCUGGGCGGUGAUGCCCAGGUGAGAGGCUGUAGCCUGGCCCCCCAGCACAGGCCUCUGACGCCUUUGGGUCACAUCUGUAAUUGCAGAAGGAAGUUGACUGAACAUGAAAUAGUUAUGUUGAGGCUAAGUAUUUUUCCAGAAGUUUUGCUUUCAGACUUCCUAAUGGCUCUGCCUCCUGGGCUUCUGUCAUCGAAAAACUGCUUUAAAAAGUGAUCCGAAAUUCUGUUUUAACCUGAUGUUGAACACCUUUAAACGUGAGGGUUUAUUUGUGUGUGUGGCGCUAAUUCUAACCUUUGGAGGCAUUUCAGUGUUGUCAAUGGCCCAUUGGCAUUGGAAAGGUUCUGGAAUCGCCCAUCUGUCUCUGGAGAUGGAAUUAAACCAAAUACAGUGCUUCCAUUGGAAGGCUUCUGUUGACCUUGUAACUAUAUGUUAAUCCUCUAAAUGUUAAAUAAAAAUAUAACUUCUGGCACCGUAUCCCGGGAUGGUUUUGUUGCACCGAGAUGACCCCGGUCACUGAGGCAGCCAGAGUCCCUGGGGCCCAGCCCCAGCCUGCACCUCGCUGACUUCCUGUGUAAACCCAAGACAAGCCCUGCAGCCAUCUGCCUGGGGAGGGGCUUGAGAGCCAGCCAGCUCUGCAGACCAGCCCACCCACGGGGGCAAAGCUGUCAGAGAUGGUCAGGUGGGAUCCAGGUGGCCUGGGCCCAGGAUUUGGGGAGGCUCCUCAUGACUGGGAAGUUUUUUUGCUGCAGAUUCAGCUGGC